rnacentral:tRNA from 1 species
UGGCUUAGCUGGUAAAGAACCUGCCUGCAAUGCAGGAGACCUGGGUUAGAUCCCUG